UUCUUACCAACUUAGAUACGAGAACAAUUUCUUGACUUUUCCUUAGCGGGGGGAAAAGGCAGCUUUAGGGAAUCUGGACUGCCCUUUAGAGCCCAGUUUCUACCCAACUGAAAGUUAGGCCUGAUAGGGUUUGACCUGAAGAAAAGCAGAACACCUGAUCACGCAGACGCGAAUGCGGGACGCCUCACAACGCACGUGUUUCAACCAAGCUUCUCAAAACAAUAAUGAAGUGCGUUGGGCAGCUCUCUUAUUUCAUUUUAGAGUUGUUAAAAGAAUAUUGAAGUAAAACCAUGGAGAUGAGACUCGCUUGUAUAAGCAGGGAUUACACAGAGAUGAGUUAUUUAACAGUAUCUCCACUUCCAAGCGUCUGAAUAACGAGAAUAGUUUGACACAGAGGCAUGUGAAAGAGGAAAAAAAGAUGUCAAAACAGAAGGGUUGUUCACACAGCUGUGAGACAUUGCUAUCCCCUAACGUCUUCUAUAAAGCCUGCAGCCUCAGACCUACUGUGGAUAAAUAAUGACAUGUUAUCAAAACCACACCAUCGAGUUAAAAUGGUCCAUGUCAAACUAAUUCUGCCUCACCAGGAGAAGGACAAGAGCUAAAUCUGGAUGCAUCCCAGUGGUAUUCAGGCUGACUUUGGUGAAGCCAGCUGCCAUGUUGUGAGCUGCCCUUUGGAGAAAACAGUGUGGUGAAGAACUGAGAUCCUGCCUACCAGUCCACAGAGAACUAAAUCCUGCCAACGACCACCAAGCAAGCCUGGAAGCAUAGCCCAUGCCAGCUGAACGUUGAGAUAGCUGCCGCUUUGGUGAACCCUUGACAAAAGCCUUGUGAGCCAGCCUGAGCUGCGGGACCCAGCUGGUUUGGUUCAGACUCCUGACUCACAGAAAUUGUGAGAUAAUACACGUGUGUUGUUUCAGGCAGCUAAGUUUUGUGGUAAUUUGUUGCCCUCCUAGAUAUUCUACAUCAUGUCAUUUUACAUUAUUUUCAAGCAAGCUCUUAUCAGUGUCUAAAAUGAUCUUAAUGUAUUUGUUGUUUAUUAUCUCUCCUACUCCAAGAUCUAAAUCUUGUAAGAGUUUAAUCUUAUCUUUCUUGUUCAUCUUCAGUUGCCCAGUGUCUAGAAGAGCACCCGGCAUGAAGUUACUGGUGCUCAGUCAUGAAUGAAUGAAUGAAUGAAUGAAUGAAUUUACUUAGAGUUUUCUUUCCAGGCCUUUGUAAUUGUCUCUCCCUAAAAUAGAGAAAUGUCUUAGGGCAAAGGCAUUUGCUUUUUCUCUUUAUCUCUACCUACAGAAGGAUAAUUUCUCAAUUAUUUUUUAACCUGCUGCUAAUCUUCUUUCUAACAGCUUUUUCAUUAUUAACUUCUCCAUGUCCAAAGGUCUUCAUAAACAAUAUUCCUGUCAUUUUCAUUUUGCAUAAAAUUAGGUAAACACAAAAAAGCUGAUUUUUUGACAUA
rnacentral:lncRNA from 1 species